rnacentral:rRNA from 1 species
GAGUUUGAUCCUGGCUCAGGAUGAACGCUGGCGGCGUGCUUAACACAUGCAAGUCGAACGGAACACCCUAGAAGGAGUUUUCGGACAACUGAUAGGACUGUUUAGUGGCGGACGGGUGAGUAACGCGUGAGUAACCUGCCUUGGAGUGGGGAAUAACAGCUGGAAACAGCUGCUAAUACCGCAUAAUAUAUCUGGGUCGCAUGGCUCUGGAUAUCAAAGAUUUAUCGCUCUGAGAUGGACUCGCGUCUGAUUAGCUGGUUGGCGGGGUAACGGCCCACCAAGGCGACGAUCAGUAGCCGGACUGAGAGGUUGGCCGGCCACAUUGGGACUGAGACACGGCCCAGACUCCUACGGGAGGCAGCAGUGGGGAAUAUUGGGCAAUGGGCGCAAGCCUGACCCAGCAACGCCGCGUGAAGGAAGAAGGCUUUCGGGUUGUAAACUUCUUUUCUCAGGGACGAAGCAAGUGACGGUACCUGAGGAAUAAGCCACGG